GGGGGGGGGGGGGGGGGGGGUGGGCGCGGGGAGGGCGGGCGGGGGGGCCGUGCGUGGGGGGGGGGCUCGAGGGGCGAACGGGUGAGUAGCACGUGCGUAACCUGCCCUUGGCUUUGGGAUACCUUCAGGAAGCUGGGGAUAAUACCGGAUAGGAGCUCCUGCUGCAUGUUGGGGUUUGGACCGUUUCGGCGGUUGGGGAUGGACGCGCGGCUUAUCAGCUUGUUGGUGGGGUAGUGGCUUACCAAGGCGUUGACGGGUAGCCGGCCGGAGAGGGUGACCGGCCACAUUGGGACUGAGAUACGGCCCAGACUCCUACGGGAGGCAGCAGUGGGGAAUAGUGCACAAUGGGCGGAAGCCUGAUGCAGCAACGCCGCGUGCGGGAUGACGGCCUGCGGGUUGUAAACCGCUUUCGCCUGUGACGAAGCGUGAGUGACGGUAAUGGGUAAAGAAGCACCGGCUAACUACGUG
rnacentral:rRNA from 1 species